rnacentral:rRNA from 2 species
AACGCGAAGAACCUUACCAGGUCUUGACAUCCUCUGAAAACCCUAGAGAUAGGGCUUCUCCUUCGGGAGCAGAGUGACAGGUGGUGCAUGGUUGUCGUCAGCUCGUGUCGUGAGAUGUUGGGUUAAGUCCCGCAACGAGCGCAACCCUUGAUCUUAGUUGCCAUCAUUAAGUUGGGCACUCUAAGGUGACUGCCGGUGACAAACCGGAGGAAGGUGGGGAUGACGUCAAAUCAUCAUGCCCCUUAUGACCUGGGCUACACACGUGCUACAAUGGACGGUACAAAGAGCUGCAAGACCGCGAGGUGGAGCUAAUCUCAUAAAACCGUUCUCAGUUCGGAUUGUAGGCUGCAACUCGCCUACAUGAAGCUGGAAUCGCUAGUAAUCGCGGAUCAGCAUGCCGCGGU